rnacentral:rRNA from 1 species
UUCAAAGGCCUAAAUACUCUAAAGACACCAGACACCAUCUUACCUUGGAAGCUAAGCUGAGCCAGUCCUGGUUGGUACUUGGAUGAGAGACCACCAACAAAUACCAGGACCUAUAUUUC